ensembl:lncRNA
CUUUCUCUGGCUCCCUCGGCACUCGCCGUGUCUCCAAGCCGCUGAAUUGCAUCCCCGCGGGAGCAGGGGCGAGGGUCGCCUGCAGCCCGGCAUCCUCCUCUUGCCCUCUCUCACCUCCCUUCUCCCCGAGGAAGCUCCUUUGCUCCUUUUCUCCUCUGUCGGUCCUCAAGUGCAUCAGUAAUCCCUGCUGCGGCUGCUGCUGCGGCUGCACCUGGGAACGGCAGGAUCUGCAAGUUAUUUCUGCGCCGGUAAAGCCAUAAGUGAAGAGGAAAAGCCAUGUCCAGUACAGGAGAGCAACGUGCCAGGCUGGGUACCAGCCAGCAACUUUUUCCAUCGCUGCCGACUGCUGAUGAGUGCGAGGAGAAGGAGCAAGAAGGAGAGGGCAGAGCGAGAGAGCCGGGCGCUGCCGAUUCCGCCGCCGCGGAGUAAACACGGCGAGAACUCCACGGCAUUUCAGAAAACGAUUUACAGAUUUGUUCCACAUUCUUCUAGAGAUUUCACUCAAAUGCUCACUGGUGACACGUCUUGGGAUAUUAGCACAGCACCAGAGGUGAAGGGAGACUCACAGUAAUUCAGGCUGGGCAUAACUUCAUGCUGCUUACAACAAUGAUGGAUUGUCUGCAGUGUAACCACCUGACCUCAGCUAAAUCUAGCAAUUAACUGCAUACCUGUUUCCACAUCUCCCAGCUAAAUGGUUACUAUUAGUUACAGCCUGUCGGGUAAUAACAAUAAUUAACACUCACGCUUAAACAGCUCCUUUCCUUUACUAAGCCCCAACUCCUCACAAAGGCCACUUUUGGGGGAAACUGAGUCAAAGUAUGAUCAGCAGAGUAGUAAUGAUUGGAGGUGGAGCUACCUUGUUAUCAGCCCAAUCCUUUUUUUUCUGUUCAACAGAUUGAGCAGGUGGAUCUAUCCCAGAGGAUCAACUAAAAAGUGUCACCUUCUCAGCACAAGUCUCUUAAGGAGGCUUUAAUCUGAAGGAAUGAAAUUCAGGGAUGAGUAGGUGAGACAGAAAAAGAACUUGGAAGAAGGAAAUUAGUAAGAGGUCAGAGGAAAUUUCUCUUGGGAUUGUUAUAGAGGUUUGCAUGUCAAUGAGUGGCUAAGGCUAAGGAGAGAAACAAUAUAGCUGUCUCAUUUAGGCAGAUGAUUAUCUCUGCAUUGUGACGAGUGGCCAUCGAGUGAUAGGGAUGUGCCCUGAGCACAUCUUAUGCAGUGUGCACACACUACACCUGCAGAGCUCUUCAGCAAAUGCACAACAAUCAGUCAUGGAGAGAAAACACUGGAUCCAUCCAAGGACCACAGACACAUUUUCCAGCUUAGACCUUGUUGUGGGUGGACACAGGAGACACAUAGAGUAUGAGCCUUCCCCUGAGCCCUGUUUUCAGGAAUUACCAGUUUAGGAGAUUCUAACAACAGCAGAAACUGCACCUGAUCCCUUACUUUUAAUAAGUAAUAAUGUAGUAGGACUUUUAAUGGACCUGUCUUCCCAAAAUUUGUCUAAUCUGUAUUUAUACUCCUGGUGUCUGAGGCAAGCUGUGAUAGUCAAGCUUACAAUCUGAUUAUGUGUACUU